rnacentral:rRNA from 1 species
CAGUAGGGAAUCUUCCGCAAUGCACGAAAGUGUGACGGGGCAAUGCCGCGUGUGGGAUGAAGCCCUUCGGGGUGUAAACCACUGUCAGGGUCUAGGAACACAAUGACCAUACCCAAAGGAAGCACCGGCUAACUCUGUGCCAGCAGCCGCGGUAAUACAGAGGGUGCGAGCGUUAAUCGGAAUCACUGGGCUUAAAGGGUCCGUAGGCGGGGCUGCAGGCGUCGAGUGAAAUACCACGGCUCAACCGUGGAACUGCUCGGCGAACCGCAGCUCUUGAGGCGAGCAGAGGCGAUCAGAACGAUAGGUGGAGCGGUGAAAUGCGUAGAUAUCUAUCGGAAUGCCGAAGGUGAAGACAGGUCGCUGGGCUCGUCCUGACGCUGAGGGACGAAAGCGUGGGGAGCAAACGGGAUUAGAUACCCCGGUAGUCCACGCCGUAAACAAUGCGCACUGGGUCGGAGGGGUUUGACGCCUUUCUGGCCGAAGCAAAAGUGUUAAGUGCGCCGCC